AAAAGCCUUUCCAUUUCAGCAAAAUUCUUUAAUUGUCAAGGAAACUUAGAUAUCUGAACGACAACAUGAAUGUCUUAUCCGUUGUAUUAAUUUGCCUUGCCCUAUAUAUGCCGCCAAGAGGAGUUUGGAGCUCCCCCAAUAAAUAAAAGUAAUAAAUUGAAUAUGCCUUGUGUUUUAUAUAUUAAAGGACUAAUUUCAGUGUACAACUGACAUUUUAGGUUUUUUAUUAAUAUGAUAAAUUAAUUAUUGCAGUUAGAAUAAUUAAAAAUAGUUUCCAGUUAAUGCUAAGUGUAUCAGCACUAGUGCUGGCCUAUAAAGGCCUUUGCAUCCCAGUAAAAUUGUUUAAUUGCCAAGGAAACGACAACUGAUUGUCUCAACUUUUAUAUUAAUUUGCCUUGCCGUAUGUGUUUCGUCAGAAGGCAUUUAUCCAUUAUCCAGGAUAUUCAAAAAUAAUGUAAUAUAUUGAAUAUGCCGAGUUUUUUAUAUUGGUAAAACUGGAUGCUGGAGUCAAAUAUAAGUCAAGCUGAA